AUGUAGUAGCGCGUGGUGUGCAGCGCGGUGAGUGUGUGAGUGAGUGAGUGAGUGAGUGUGGCAGUGAGGUGCGGCCGUGACCUGGCUGGGGAUGAUCUUGAUGAGCGCGAUGUAGUAGCGCGUGGUGUGCAGCGCGGUGAGUGUGUGAGUGAGUGAGUGAGUGAGUGUGGCAGUGAGGUGCGGCCGUGACCUGGCUGGGGAUGAUCUUGAUGAGCGCGAUGUAGUAGCGCGUGGUGUGCAGCGCGGUGAGUGUGUGAGUGAGUGAGUGAGUGAGUGUGGCAGUGAGGUGCGGCCGUGACCUGGCUGGGGAUGAUCUUGAUGAGCGCGAUGUAGUAGCGCGUGGUGUGCAGCGCGGUGAGUGUGUGAGUGAGUGAGUGAGUGAGUGUGGCAGUGAGGUGCGGCCGUGACCUGGCUGGGGAUGAUCUUGAUGAGCGCGAUGUAGUAGCGCGUGGUGUGCAGCGCGGUGAGUGUGUGAGUGAGUGAGUGAGUGAGUGUGGCAGUGAGGUGCGGCCGUGACCUGGCUGGGGAUGAUCUUGAUGAGCGCGAUGUAGUAGCGCGUGGUGUGCAGCGCGGUGAGUGUGUGAGUGAGUGAGUGAGUGAGUGUGGCAGUGAGGUGCGGCCGUGACCUGGCUGGGGAUGAUCUUGAUGAGCGCGAUGUAGUAGCGCGUGGUGUGCAGCGCGGUGAGUGUGUGAGUGAGUGAGUGAGUGAGUGUGGCAGUGAGGUGCGGCCGUGACCUGGCUGGGGAUGAUCUU